UUCACAUUUCUGUGCAGUGGGGAUCUGUC
rnacentral:piRNA from 1 species